rnacentral:rRNA from 1 species
UACGAAGGGGGCUAGCGUUGCUCGGAAUCACUGGGCGUAAAGCGCACGUAGGCGGAUUGUUAAGUCAGGGGUGAAAUCCUGGAGCUCAACUCCAGAAUUGCCUUCGAUACUGUAGAGCUUGAGACCGGAAGAGGUAAGUGGAACUGCGAGUGUAGAGGUGAAAUGCGCAGAUAUCGGGAGGAACACCAGCGGCGAAGGCGGCACUCUGGGCUGGAACUGACGCUGAGGAGCGAAAGCGUGGGUAGCAAACAGGG